GAAAAGCCAAAUCUUUAUGAGUUUUUGUAAUUAUGCCCCAUCUUUAUGAUUUUAGUAAAUUUAUCCUAAAUUUGUUGUAAAUUUGUCCAAUCGUCAAAAUUCAAGUUGUGGUACUUAAAUAGCAUUUACAUGGCAAAUGACAAGGAUGGAAAUAUGGAUAAUUUCAUAAAUGUGGGUGGUGUGGCAUUUUAUGACGACAAAUUUGAUUUUCAUCAUAAAGGUACUUGAGCUUUUGUGCCAUUACAUUGUCCUUGACUCUGUUAACGAAUUGUUGGUGUUAAACCAAAGGAUAAAUUUGUGAAAUUAUUGAAUGAGUUUCUAUUUUUUUAAAAAUUGCGGGGUCCACAUACUUAUAUUAAAAUAAAACUCAACUCAACUAAGUUUUUAU
rnacentral:misc_RNA from 1 species